GAUUUUCCUACUUGCGGUUUCACAUCCUGCGUGGCUUUUGUUCUGUUGUUGUUAACUUCGGAAGAUGGGCGACAAAGAAGCUCUAACUGUACAAGAAAAAACGAACGAUGAAGAUAUGGAUGGAAAAGUGGAAUUGCCACCAGGAAUCAAGGACAUGGAUUUAAAGAGCAGUGUUGUAUACAAAGGCCAGCAAGAGAAACCGAAAGAGCUUGCUAAGGCGGCCAUGGCUAGACGAGCGAUCUCUGUGGAUGAUAAUGUUCCUGAAACAGAAUCCAAAGAUCAAAAACCAGUCGCAGAUGACAGCAAAGCGAAAGUAGCGAAAACCCAAUCCCUGGAGAAUAUACAAGAAAACACCCCAUCUGAUCAUAACGACCUACUAUCGAGCAAACAGGAAGGCCCAGAAAGACAAGCAGAACGUCGACUAUGUGUCCUCCUUCUUCUAUCUCCUCUGGCGCAUGUUUGAGUUGGGCCCCCGGUACAUCCUUCUGGGGCUGUGUGCAGCCUAUUUCAAGCCCUGGGUUUUCAUUGUUGCCGUACCGCAUGUAAUUUUUGUCGUGCUGUUGUAUCGUUUCACGAAGGCGGAGUUAGCCGGAAUUUGCGAUGAUCCAUCCGAGGAAAAACCUGCAAAGGAAAAUGAAGCAAGUUCGGCGGAAAAUGGCGAUGUUAAAACCAGCGGAACGGAAACGGAAAAUGGCGAUGCAACUGCCGGGGAAAAUAAAACGGAAAAUAAAACCAAUGACCAACAAGGCCAAUCCAAAGGGUGCGGAGUGCCUAUUCUCCAGUAUGCUUUCUUGGUUAUUCUUGGAUUUAUUGGUUUGUUUUCGUUCAUCAAUCUGAAGGAAGGUAAAACCAGAUAUUUGACCUUUAUCUACUACGUGGUGUACUACGCAGAAAAUCUGGUUAUGGUGGCGCUGUUGGUAUGGCUAGCAGACGACAGACUCCCGCCUCCCGAUUGUUACGUAUUGGUGGUGGCCCCGAUAGGGAUCGUGGGUCACGUGAUCAGUGCAGGGUUGUUCUACAUGUGUUUCCAUCCGGAAACAGCUGGAAAGAGGAGAAUCAUUGCACCAAGAGUAAAAAUAAACUGUCCGAUUUUACGAAAAUGAGACGUCAUUUUAUGUCCGUUCUUCAUCAUAAGCAUUAAUCCAUCUCAUGUCCAUCCAAGAACUAACUUAAUAUUUAAGCAUAAUGUACAUUGUUUACGGCUGAUAUGUUUUGUAGUAUUGUUUAUAUUUGUUAAAUUUUGCCUUGUUUUAUCGACCGGUUUAACAUUUUUUACGUGGAUGUAUAGAGGUAUCUAUCAAAAGCACAUGAUAAUCAAAUGACGUUUUACAGUGUAUUUAACAUUUGAAAGGAUAGGAAAAACUCCACACUUACUAUUCAUUAUGAUUUAAUGGGACUCUGACGCCUACACUGUAACAGUAAAUGGUCUGUCUGAACUGUGCGGAUAAUUUCAAUAAUUUGUUUAUAAAACCUUUGAAAUAGAUACCUGUAUAAUAACAUGGUUAUAAGAAUUGCUUUACAUGUAACUUACUGUUUCACUUUAACACCAUCUGCAAAUGUCGUAAUUGUCUGCAGUCGUUAGAUGCUAUUCAGCAAAACAUAAUGUUUAGUUAAGUAAAUAAACUGAUUCAUUUUUCCUCGUUAAAGGAACUCUUUAAAUUUCGUAGUAUAAUUGCUAUUUUGUAUGAUUAUUAUGUUUAAUAACCAAGUAUCAAUUUACUACUUUAGUACUGAAAUGUUUGAUGCUAGAUGCAGGCGAAUUUAUCAGUUCAAUUUUAUAGGGUCCAUGGUCAGCUUGCCAAGAUUAUCACCAAGCACAGAACUCGUUCAUGUUAACUGUUUGUUUUUGACUUGAUACUGUCAAGGUUUUCGUAUCUAAUGCGUAACACCUUGUUGGUUGAUUAUGGUGUUCUCGAAUCAGAAAUCCUAUUUUUUUUAAAAUCCUAUUUUUUAAAGCGUGCUUUAAAUGUGUUUUGCGACCUUGUUUUUUGUCAAUCAGUUGUGUAUUUUUACUCUGUAUGCUGAAAUGCUUUAAUUUGUUUUCGUUUUUAAAGAUAUGCCUUGGGGUGUAUCUUAAUGGCGGUAUAUAUCUGAUGUGUAUCGUAUAGCAAUUAAAACACACUAAAUCAU
rnacentral:misc_RNA from 1 species